GUUUGGUGUUAAAGUGCGUUUUGUUUUUGUGAGCAAUUAUUAAAUAUGGCAAAAAAGAAUUGAAAAAAAAUUAAUUCAACGAGAUUGUACCAACACCAAGUAUGUGGACAGUUUAUGUACAUUGAAGGGAAAGUAUUCUGUUUAACUAUAAAGUUGUG